CCUACGGGUGGCAGCAGUGAGGAAUAUUGGUCAAUGGGCGCGAGCCUGAACCAGCCAAGUCGCGUGAGGGAAGACGGUCCUACGGAUUGUAAACCUCUUUUGCCGGGGAGCAAGCCCGCGCACGCGUGCCCGCAUGGCGAGUACCCGCAGAAUAAGCAUCGGCUAACUCCGUGCCAGCAGCCGCGGUAAUACGGAGGAUGCGAGCGUUAUCCGGAUUUAUUGGGGUUAAAGGGUGCGUAGGCGGAUUUCUAAGUCAGCGGUAAAAAGUCGGGGCUCAACCCGGGCCGGCCGUUGAAACUGGGGAUCUUGAGUGGGCGAGAAGUAUGCGGAAUGCGUGGUGUAGCGGUGAAAUGCAUAGAUAUCACGCAGAACUCCGAUUGCGAAGGCAGCAUACCGGCGCCCGACUGACGCUGAGGCACGAAAGCGUGGGGAUCGAACAGGAUUAGAUACCCUUGUAGUC
rnacentral:rRNA from 1 species